GCCUGGGUGGCUCACUCGGUUAAGCGUCUGACUUCGACUCAGGUCAAGAUCUCACGGUUUGUGAGUUUGAGCCCCACAUCAGGCU
rfam:Felis catus isolate Cinnamon breed Abyssinian chromosome C1, whole genome shotgun sequence.